ACUGGGCGUUAAGUUGCAGGGUAUAGACCCGAAACCCGGUGAUCUAGCCAUGGGCAGGUUGAAGGUUGGGUAACACUAACUGGAGGACCGAACCGACUAAUGUUGAAAAAUUAGCGGAUGACUUGUGGCUGGGGGUGAAAGGCCAAUCAAACCGGGAGAUAGCUGGUUCUCCCCGAAAGCUAUUUAGGUAGCGCCUCGUGAAUUCAUCUCCGGGGGUAGAGCACUGUUUCGGCAAGGGGGUCAUCCCGACUUACCAACCCGAUGCAAACUGCGAAUACCGGAGAAUGUUAUCACGGGAGACACACGGCGGGUGCUAACGUCCGUCGUGAAGAGGGAAACAACCCAGACCGCCAGCUAAGGUCCCAAAGUCAUGGUUAAGUGGGAAACGAUGUGGGAAGGCCCAGACAGCCAGGAUGUUGGCUUAGAAGCAGCCAUCAUUUAAAGAAAGCGUAAUAGCUCACUGGUC
rnacentral:rRNA from 1 species